rnacentral:misc_RNA from 1 species
AACUAAUUAUUUGACUGGCUUAACAACCUUUUUCCGUGAUUUUCUCUUUUCCACUGUAUUCGCAAUGGUCCUAAGAACCGCAGCGUCACAUUUUACGGUUUGAAAUUUGAGUUUAAAUCGACUUCGCAGUCGUUCCCGAGAAGUUGUCUUAAGUAUGGUUCUAAUCCCCUUAAUUGUCCUGACCGACACCGGUCACCGGAACAGCGAAAUAUACCAGGCUAUACCAAUA